GCCUCCUGCAUGCUCUCCACUGGAGAUGGAGCCCGCUACCCAGGCAUGUGCCCUUGGCGAGAGUCAACCUGGGGGCCCUUCAGUCCCCAGGCUGAUGCUCUGUCUACUGAGCCAAGCCGGCUAGGGCAGGACCUGAUAUUUUGGGGGGGCCACUGUUAAGCCUACUACACUGCUCUUGUACCAGAUUCUCUUUUUAAUCCACAGUGUAGACACGCUGUUAUUGGUUUUGGAGAGAGGGAGAAAGAAACAUCAAUGUGAGAGUGAAAUAUUGAUUUGUUGCCUCCUUUACAUGCCCCAACUGGGAUCAAACCCACAACCUGGGUAUGUGCCUUGACUAGUAAUCAAACUCUCAACAUUUCAGUAUAUGGAACGACACUGCCACCAGCUGAGCCACACUGGUAGGCAGCAGUUAAUUUAUUGUCAUUAAAUUUGAUGCGCGACAUACAGAUUUCUCAUCGUUGAGCAAAUUGUUAAUUGGAUUAAAAUUUCUCAGCUUUAGCACUACUUUUAAAUUUAAACUACAUCAUUAAUAUUUUUCCACCUAUUAAAAUUUUUUAAAAAUGAUUUUAGAGGAAAGGAGAGAGAGAAACAUCAAUUGGUUGCCUCCUGCAUGGGCCCCAACUGGGUAUCCAACCCGAAACCUGGGCAUGUUCCCUGACUGGAAACCAAACCAGCCACCUUUUGGUGUUUGGGAUGAGCCUCCAGCCGUCUGAACCAGCCCAGCCAGAUUCCACCUGUUUCUUCAGUCUAGACCUGUGCUGUCCACUGUGGCAGCCAUUGGAUAAUUUGCCUGUUGGAACACUUGAGAUGUGGCUAGUUUGAACUCAGAUGUGCUUUAAGUGUAAAAUAAACACCAGAAUUUGAAGAGUUAGUAAUGAAAAAAAAAAAAUGUAAAAGAUAUCCUUAGUUACUUUAUAUUGAUUACAUGUUGAAAUAGUAUUUUGGACAUACCAGGUUAAAUAAAAUAUACUAUUUAAAUUAA